GGUUAAGCGACUAAGCGUACACGGUGGAUGCCUAGGCAAUCAGAGGCGAUGAAGGACGUGCUAAUCUGCGAUAAGCGUCGGUAAGGUGAUAUGAACCGUUACAACCGACGAUUUCCGAAUGGGGAAACCCAGUGCAAUUCGUUGCACUAUCGUUUGAUGAAUACAUAGUCAAACGAAGCGAACCGGGGGAACUGAAACAUCUCAGUACCCCGAGGAAAAGAAAUCAACCGAGAUUCCCCUAGUAGCGGCGAGCGAACGGGGAGCAGCCCAGAGUCUUAAUCAGCAUUAGCAUCAGGAGAACGGUCUGGAAAGUCCGGCAGUAAAGGGUGAUAGCCCCGUAUCCGAAGGUGUUAGUGUUGUGAACUCGACGAGUAGGGCGGGACACGUGUUAUCCUGUCUGAAUAUGGGGGGACCAUCCUCCAAGGCUAAAUACUCCUGAUUGACCGAUAGUGAACCAGUACCGUGAGGGAAAGGCGAAAAGAACCCCGGCGAGGGGAGUGAAAUAGAACCUGAAACCGUGUACGUACAAGCAGUGGGAGCCUUGAUUUAUCAGGGUGACUGCGUACCUUUUGUAUAAUGGGUCAGCGACUUAUAUUCUGUAGCAAGGUUAACCGUAUAGGGGAGCCGUAGGGAAACCGAGUCUUAACUGGGCGAAUAAGUUGCAGGGUAUAGACCCGAAACCCGGUGAUCUAGCCAUGGGCAGGUUGAAGGUUGGGUAACACUAACUGGAGGACCGAACCGACUAAUGUUGAAAAAUUAGCGGAUGACUUGUGGCUGGGGGUGAAAGGCCAAUCAAACCGGGAGAUAGCUGGUUCUCCCCGAAAGCUAUUUAGGUAGCGCCUCGUGAACUCAUCUUCGGGGGUAGAGCACUGUUUCGACUAGGGGGUCAUCCCGACUUACCAACUCGAUGCAAACUACGAAUACCGAAGAAUGUUAUCACGGGAGACACACGGCGGGUGCUAACGUUCGUCGUGAAGAGGGAAACAACCCAGACCGCCAGCUAAGGUCCCAAAGUCAUAGUUAAGUGGGAAACGAAGUGGGAAGGCUCAGACAGCCAGGAUGUUGGCUUAGAAGCAGCCAUCAUUUAAAGAAAGCGUAAUAGCUCACUGGUCGAGUCGGCCUGCGCGGAAGAUGUAACGGGGCUAAACUAUGCACCGAAGCUGCGGCAGCGAACGUAUCACUUAAACUGAUUAAGUGAUACUCAGAUGUAUCAAAACGAUUGACGGAGCGAAGCGACGUCAAUGCGUCCAACAAAGUCGAGGCGGAAACGUCAGGCAGUCAGUUUAAGGAUACGUUCGUUGGGUAGGGGAGCGUUCUGUAAGCCUGUGAAGGUGUACUGUGAGGUAUGCUGGAGGUAUCAGAAGUGCGAAUGCUGACAUAAGUAACGAUAAUGCGGGUGAAAAACCCGCACGCCGGAAGACCAAGGGUUCCUGUCCAACGUUAAUCGGGGCAGGGUGAGUCGACCCCUAAGGCGAGGCAGAAAUGCGUAGUCGAUGGGAAACGGGUUAAUAUUCCCGUACUGGUGAUAAUUGCGAUGGGGGGACGGAGAAGGCUAGGCUAUCCGGGCGACGGUUGUCCCGGUUUAAGAAUGUAGGCAGGUGAAUUAGGCAAAUCCGGUUCACUACAUGCUGAGGUUCGAUGACGAGUCACUACGGUGAUGAAGUAGCUCAUGCCCCGCUUCCAGGAAAAGCCUCUAAGCUCUAGAUUAUCAUUAAUCGUACCCCAAACCGACACAGGUGGUCAGGUAGAGAAUACUCAGGCGCUUGAGAGAACUCGGGUGAAGGAACUAGGCAAAAUGGUGCCGUAACUUCGGGAGAAGGCACGCUGGCGCUAGGUGAAGUCCCUCGCGGAUGGAGCUGAAGCCAGUCGCAGAUACCAGCUGGCUGCAACUGUUUAUUAAAAACACAGCACUGUGCAAACACGAAAGUGGACGUAUACGGUGUGACGCCUGCCCGGUGCUGGAAGGUUAAUUGAUGGGGUUAUCCGUAAGGAGAAGCUCUUGAUCGAAGCCCCAGUAAACGGCGGCCGUAACUAUAACGGUCCUAAGGUAGCGAAAUUCCUUGUCGGGUAAGUUCCGACCUGCACGAAUGGCGUAAUGAUGGCCAGGCUGUCUCCACCCGAGACUCAGUGAAAUUGAACUCGCUGUGAAGAUGCAGUGUACCCGCGGCAAGACGGAAAGACCCCGUGAACCUUUACUAUAGCUUGACACUGAACAUUGAGCCUUGAUGUGUAGGAUAGGUGGGAGGCUUCGAAGCGUGGACGCCAGUCUGCGUGGAGCCAACCUUGAAAUACCACCCUUUAAUGUUUGAUGUUCUAACGUUGCCCCAUUAUCUGGGGUGCGGACAGUGUCUGGUGGGUAGUUUGACUGGGGCGGUCUCCUCCCAAAGAGUAACGGAGGAGCACGAAGGUUGGCUAAGCAUGGUCGGACAUCAUGCGGUUAGUGCAAAGGCAUAAGCCAGCUUGACUGCGAGAGUGACGGCUCGAGCAGGUACGAAAGUAGGUCUUAGUGAUCCGGUGGUUCUGAAUGGAAGGGCCAUCGCUCAACGGAUAAAAGGUACUCCGGGGAUAACAGGCUGAUACCGCCCAAGAGUUCAUAUCGACGGCGGUGUUUGGCACCUCGAUGUCGGCUCAUCACAUCCUGGGGCUGAAGUAGGUCCCAAGGGUACGGCUGUUCGCCGUUUAAAGUGGUACGCGAGCUGGGUUUAGAACGUCGUGAGACAGUUCGGUCCCUAUCUGCCGUGGGCGUUGGAAGAUUGAAAGGGGCUGCUCCUAGUACGAGAGGACCGGAGUGGACGCACCACUGGUGUUCGGGUUGUCAUGCCAAUGGCAUUGCCCGGUAGCUAAGUGCGGAAGAGAUAACCGCUGAAAGCAUCUAAGCGGGAAACUUGCCUUGAGAUGAGUCUUCCCUGACCCUUUAAGGGUCCUAAAGGAACGUUUAAGACUAAGACGUUGAUAGGUUGGGUGUGUAAGCAUAGCGAUAUGUUGAGCUAACCAAUACUAAUGAACCGUGAGGCUUAACCUG
rnacentral:rRNA from 1 species